CGGUAGAUUCUCGAUCGCCGUAGAGAUACGGUUUCCCCUUUGGGGCGGGUUCACAGGUGGUGCAUGGUUGUCGUCAGCUCGUGUCGUGAGAUGUUGGGUUAAGUCCCGCAACGAGCGCAACCCUCGUUCCAUGUUGCCAGCACGUAAUGGUGGGGACUCAUGGGAGACUGCCGGGGUCAACUCGGAGGAAGGUGAGGACGACGUCAAAUCAUCAUGCCCCUUAUGUCUUGGGCUUCACGCAUGCUACAAUGGCCGGUACAAUGGGUUGCGACACUGUGAGGUGGAGCUAAUCCCAAAAAGCCGGUCUCAGUUCGGAUUGGGGUCUGCAACUCGACCCCAUGAAGUCGGAGUCGCUAGUAAUCGCAGAUCAGCAACGCUGCGGUGAAUACGUUCCCGGGUCUUGUACACACCGA
rnacentral:rRNA from 1 species